rnacentral:rRNA from 1 species
GCAAGUCUAGGAGAAAGCUUUCUUCGGAAAGUGAUUAAACUGGCGCACGGGUGAGGAAUAUGUAAGUAAUCUACCCAUAAAUUGGGAAUAACACCUCGAAAGAGAUGCUAAUACCAAAUAAGAUACCGUUACCGCAUGGUAGUGGUAUUAAAGAUGCUUCGGCAUUGUUUAUGGAUAAGCUUGCAUCUGAUUAGCUAGUUGGUGGGGUAAAAGCCUACCAAGGCGAUGAUCCGUAGCUGGUCUGAGAGGAUGAUC